AAUAGGAGAAUGACAAAUUAAAUUAAUUAUUCUGAUUUUCAGCUUUUUCUUCGUGAAAAAGUUUAAAUCCAACUAAAAAUGUUAAAAAUCAGAAAAAAAAAAUUUGAUUUGUCAUUCUCCUACC
rfam:Gossypium raimondii Chr13_contig_87, whole genome shotgun sequence.